GGAUCAAUGAUGAUAACAAGUCUCUGAGGAUGCUGAUCAACUCAUCGCUAUGUCAAUCUGAGUUCC
rfam:Mesocricetus auratus contig197538, whole genome shotgun sequence.